UUUCGCAGUCUUGUGCAUUUGCUAUCCAUCUAUUGGGAAAGCUGCCCCGUCCACCUGACCCUUUAUUUCGGAGGCAUUUAAUCAUCUCCAUAGGAUCUUUUCCGAGAAAUCGUCCCUAAAACCCUUGUCUGGGCUUCCAGAUUGUCCAUUUUACUCUCUCGUAGAAGUUACUGCAUUCUGAUAAUUAACUUAUUUGUCCGACUCUCCCACACUGCAUUGUGUUCUCUUUGAGGGCAGGGACACAUUCUUCUUUAACAUUCUUCCUCCAGUGUCAGGCUCAUCGUUGAUGAUAAAAAUAAUGUUUGAUGGCUGGAUGGUCGCACAACAGAAGGAUGGACAGAAAGAAGGAACUUACCAAUGGACCAAGAGAGAGGAAAAAACGGAGUUGUGACUUAACCCUACGUCCCACAGCGAAUUAGUAGCAGAGACAGUGUAACUGAAUCCAGAAUUCAUCUCAGAUACUCUCUGCUGUGUCCCCAAGCGUCUCCGUAUCCUGAGGUGAUUAUCUGGAUGUGCAGAUACGUUCUACAGAUGGGUGCAGGGAAUGCGUGCGAAUGCUGAAACCGUCAUCCCAAGCGGUCUGAGGGUGGCCUCAGCACAGCAGAGAGGGCUUAGAACGCCCCACUGGGAGAGAGCUUCCAGCCCGUUUUCUCCCUGUGGCUUCUGGUGUGACUGCUACAGAAGUCCACCAGCUGCCGAGACCCAGCUCCUCCAGAAGAUGGCAGAGCAGAAGGGGAGAACUGCAUCGGCUGCGUUAUCUCAUCUUCUCAUUUUACUGUUCCUUCCUCUGCAGAAGAAAAUAUUAAAAAGGCUGUAUCUGCUUCAGGAUUGUUGCAAGAUUACGUGGUUUACAUAUGAGACAAGAUGAGUGGCGGCAAGUGCUAGAAAGUGGUCGCCCAGCAGCGGGACGCCCUCUCGCUCCGGGAGCCGUGUGUGCAGCGCACCUGUCCAGGUGUGAGUGAGGGAGCAGUGCCCGACGGGGCGUGCACUACCCGGGACGGGGUGUGUGUUGAAAAUGGAUGCUCUGUAGUGGUGAUGGCUAGAUGCAGAGACCAGCUCAGCAGAUUCCUGGAAGGGUGCAGUCGCCCCUCCGGAGCUGUGCAGGCCAGCUUAGCACAGCUGCUCGGCCCAGCUCCUGGGUUACAUGACAACACAGAUGAAGACUGGCCUGUGACCGCUGUACGGCCAGAUUGUUGUCCAGCAUGGCCGGACCAAGCCGCCUUCCCACCAGCAUGCCCGGGGGCCGCACGUCCCUCGGAAAGGGGCGUCGCCCAGGGGAGGGAAAUGCGCGGACACUGCACUGCUGGGCAGGGCUCGGAGCAGUAGCCGCACCUGCCCUGAACGUGAGCUGAUCUUGUGGGCACAGCACUUAGUGAUUGCAAGCAGGAGCAGGUGGGGUCUGGAGCACGCUGUGCUCAUUGAAAUGCAUACGAGACAAUAGUCUUGUUUCCCCCACAAACACAAGAAUCAGAAGAUGCACAUCAGAUGUAUCUGAGUGGCUGCCCACGGAGGGUAGAGGUUUGCUACGUCAGCACUGUUUACGGAGCAUUCCAUGGGAUGGUAUGUCCAUAAGCCGCUAACGCCAUACUGGCCACUUGGCCUUUUCCCUCGCCUGCGGCCAGCAGAAGCUACACUGACUUAAUGAGCCACGUUCAAGGUUGUAUUCCUACUGUCUCUCGUGAAUCUGUGCGAUACUGCAUGUUUAAAUAAUUUCCAGAAAAUAAAAACACCUGGGCCCUGCGUGUACUGUAGCCUGUAGUUACGCAUCACCUUCCGUGCCGGAGCGACUACAGUGACCCUCAGACCGCCACGGCAGUCUGUCGGUGUUGGCCGUGCUUGCCACAGUCACGACUCCCUUACGUGUUGUCCCACUUCAUCUUCACAAAGGAGAUUUGAAGCUUAGAGAAGCCAAAUGUUUUGCCCAAGAUGAGAGAACUGGCGAGGAUGAGGGCAGCAGCUGCCCGUAAAUACAUGAGUUCCCCGGCACUCCACCAGGGAACGGGAAGGUCCGUGCGGACUUCGAGGCCGUGAGACCAGGGCGCUGUGCGUGCACACCUCGAGGACGCUCUGGUUCUCUGUGCUGAGCCAGAGGCGAGCACCAGCGCAGGGACUAACUCCCAGGUGGGAGUUAAAGCUGGCAGGGACCUUGGAGAGGCCGGGACAGCGAGCAGCCCUUGUGUUCAUGUACACGGCGAGAGGAACACGGCUCAGAAGACGCAAGUUUCCUCGUUCGCCCCAGGUCACAUGGAGAUUUCCACACAGCCAAAACAGGAAGCCCAGUUUCUAACCCUCAGGCCAGGAGUGGCUCAUAGCAUCAGGUAGAUGAGAAACCCUGGAAGCCAGCAGGGCCUUUCGGUAGCUUUAAAGCUCGGGCAAGCUGCUGGACGUCCUCGGGCUGCUGUUUCCUCGGGCAGGAGGGGUAUGCUUCAUCGUGGCUCGUACGACCCAUAUGGCUGAUGCAAAGAUUGGU